UACAGAGGUCUCAAGCGUUGUUCGGAUUCAUUGGGCGUAAAGGGUGCGUAGGUGGCGUCGUAAGUCGGGUGUGAAAUUUCGGAGCUUAACUCCGAAACUGCAUUCGAUACUGCGGUGCUUGAGGACUGGAGAGGAGACUGGAAUUUACGGUGUAGCGGUGAAAUGCGUAGAUAUCGUCAAGAACACCGAUAGCGAAGGCAGCCAACUAGGGGUUAACUGACGCUGAGGCACGAAAGUGCGGGGAUCAAACAGG
rnacentral:rRNA from 1 species